rnacentral:rRNA from 1 species
AUGGCCAGAUCUGCGGCGCUGCUGCUGCUGCUGCUCGCUCUUCUCCUGGUCUGCUCGGGGGCCGCGUCGGCAGCCGCCGCGGCGGGCAGAAUCAAGAGCAAGGCUGCUGCUCGGUCAGCGAGGGCGGAGGCGGAGGCGGGGUGCCGGGAUCUGGCGACGCGCGGCAAGUGCGGGGCGAGCGGCGGCGGGGGCAGGUGCCGGUGGUGCCGCAGCGAGGCGCUCGACGACAUGUGCUUCGGCGCAGCGGAGGCGUGGCGGCUCCCGAAGCAGGUCUUCUCCUGCGACCAGCCCGCCGGCGCCGCGCACGCCAGGAGAUAG